UACAGAGGUCUCAAGCGUUGUUCGGAUUCAUUGGGCGUAAAGGGUGCGUAGGCGGCGCGGUAAGUCGGGUGUGAAAUCUCGGAGCUUAACUCCGAAACUGCAUUCGAUACUGCCGUGCUUGAGGACUGGAGAGGAGACUGGAAUUUACGGUGUAGCAGUGAAAUGCGCAGGAUAUCGUAAGGAAGACCAGUGGACGGAAGGCGGGUCUCUGGACAGUUCCUGACGCUGAGGCACGAAGGCCAGGGAGCAAACGGG
rnacentral:rRNA from 1 species